CCCUUUGCAAGUAAGUAUGAUUUACACAUAAAUAUUACUAUUACGUUCGAGAUUAAAUUAAGCAAUACAUGCUGCAUUUAUUAUCACUGAGCUAGUCGAUCGCAGAUCGUCAGUUUCUUAUCGCUCCUAUAACACUUUUUAUGAUGUGUUUGCCCCGUGUUGAACGUGUCAGAUCUGCAUUUUCUCACAUGAUUUUUAAUGUUUGAUACAUUUCUUUCCAUGUAUGUUUGUAUCAUUAUUUGAUAUAUUGCCAUUUUAAUUUAUUCCCGAAUAAUAGCAUGUGUUAUGUAUUGUUUACCCCCUGUCAUUAACCCGAGUAUAAAAGAGCAUGCGUGAAAGAGAAAAAGUCGAGUUUUAAAGUUUAAUUUAGCAACUGGAAGGCAUUUUGAAGAAAUGUAAAUGUGUAUGUAUAUAAUUUUGUUUUCAGUUUGUACCCCAAGUGAUCUCCUGUGGUAACAGAAAUUCAUGUGUUAGGAAUGACACUGUUAGGAAACCUAUGAGAACUUGCAACAAUGAAAUGACAAAUACUACGGUGUCUAAGGCAACAGGAUCAGGUGAAAAAAGUGAACAUCCAGCUCAAAGUGUUCCCACAUCAAGAAGGCGUCAAUUGCAAGUUAAAGAUGCAACAAUGACAGAACAGGUGACUUGAAUAAAGACAACUGAUUAGAAGGCUAUAGCUAUGUCCUGGAAUACGUAUGGUGUAAUGGUAUCGUCCGUAUCGAGCCCUCCUAUACUGUACUAGUGUGUGUAAUCGAACGCACCUUUACUUUGUUGUGUGUAGAUGGGGCCAUGUACGAUGUAAAAUACAAAGGAAAAAAGCAAAAACCAUGGUGCAUAAUCUACAGCAAGACCUACAUAAUGGUGAUCUUAAAUUUGGGGAUAUUUAGGCAAUCCCACCUGUGUAUCCAAACCAUUUAGCUGAGCCUGCUGACAUAACCAGUAAGAUGCUGAGUAACCCCUCAUACCAGACAUGCAUUAACACAUCAGACCAUCUAACCCUUCAUACCACCCAACCUGUAAGACCUGCCAACAGUUCCGAUGCAGCAGACCAUGGCCAGCUGACUUGUGUCUGGACAUAUGCUCGUGUGGCUACGGAGAUUUGCGCCAGUUGUUGAACAUGUUUCUAGAAAGCUGCUAGUUGUUCCGGAAAUGUUGUUAAGGAGUCCGCUCAUACUACAUCAGGCUUCACGUGAAGAGGAUGUGAAUAUGUUUAUGGAGUCUAUUGAGUCUACCAGACAUAUUUCAGACAGGAAAUUGGCCCAGAUCCGCCAAGCGUCGCUAGAGGAUCCGCAUCUGCAGAAAGCACUCAGUCUCACAUUGGCAGGGUCACCCGAUCGUGAAAUCAACUUAGACGAAUUAGAUGGUGUCGAAUGAUUUAUUACUGCUACACUGACAAAUGAUCGUGAUACCUGUCGCCAUACCCUCACGGUCUUGUGUAUGGAAAUACUGAGCAACAGAAAACUCAACAAUUAAAAUGAAAAUUCACAGCAUUUAAAUAAUUUAACAAAUAAAGUUUAAGUACCUUCACAACAACUGCCUUGGUGAACCGGGAAAAUACAACCGUUAUUACAAUAGGUUACCGGUAUUAAGAUACAAAAACAAUACAGCUAGUAUGCAUAAUUGCUGUUCGUUACAGCACACAAGGUCUGUAUAAAUGC